rnacentral:rRNA from 1 species
GAUGAGCGCUAGCUACAGGCUUAACACAUGCAAGUCGAGGGGCAGCAUGGUCUUAGCUUGCUAAGGCCGAUGGCGACCGGCGCACGGGUGAGUAACACGUAUCCAACCUGCCGUCUACUCUUGGACAGCCUUCUGAAAGGAAGAUUAAUACAAGAUGGCAUCAUGAGUCCGCAUGUUCACAUGAUUAAAGGUAUUCCGGUAGACGAUGGGGAUGCGUUCCAUUAGAUAGUAGGCGGGGUAACGGCCCACCUAGUCUUCGAUGGAUAGGGGUUCUGAGAGGAAGGUCCCCCACAUUGGAACUGAGACACGGUCCAAACUCCUACGGGAGGCAGCAGUGAGGAAUAUUGGUCAAUGGGCGAGAGCCUGAACCAGCCAAGUAGCGUGAAGGAUGACUGCCCUAUGGGUUGUAAACUUCUUUUAUAAAGGAAUAAAGUCGGGUAUGGAUACCCGUUUGCAUGUACUUUAUGAAUAAGGAUCGGCUAACUCCGUG